AGGAGAAGGUGGAGAAGAUUCUCCGUCUUCCGGAGGGUAGCUACUGCCGGUAGCUCCGAUUUCCUUCGGAUCCCCUUUCAAGGGCAAGCAGAAGGAAAUCAGUUUCUCCAAAGAAAGUGGCCCGGCUGAGUAAGUGGGAACAAGGUGGUUGGACUGAGGCACGGGAUCCUUUAGCUCCGUUGCUCUUCUAAUCCCGUGGCCCUGGGCACCGCCACUUCCUCCUCUGAACUGCUGGAAUAAUCACUUCUGACUAGCAGAGUUACUGGGAGCCGCUGUUUGUCAGUGUUCACAUUCUGACUUUAGCAGGAGAUGGAGCGAGCGAAGGAGUGAAGCCCUUGUUUGUGAACAGUGAUUGUUUCCCGGAUGACAGCCAGAUGCCGGGCAGGGCCACGCAGAUCUUAGCUGGAGCCUACAGGUUGGGUUUCAGCCGAGCAAGUCUGAGGCCCCUUUCCCGCGCCCUCUGGUGGAAAGUGUUCGCUUUUCUGUCCACCCAUGUGAAGGAUUCACCCCGACCCUCCUCAGGUGGCCUUUACUUUGCAGGAGCAAAGCAAGUUGGAUGAGGAGAUACAUGUAUGUGGCACACAGCUUUCUUCACUUAGCAACACGUCAGAUGCAGCGUAGAUGUGCGGAUGAAACCACCAUUGCAAAAUUAUCACUGAGACAGUCAGAGAAACCUGACAUGGCUGACUCCAUGUUGCUUUUAGCCUCACAGGCUGGCUCUCUUAGCUCAUUCCUAAGCAUGGGCCUGAAACUGCCAUUGCAAAAUCGUAACUGAGACAGCAAAAGAGACUUGACCUAACCAACUCCAUCUUGCUUCUAACCUCCAAGCUGUCCUUGUUCAUUCCUGGGUGUAGGCUGAACUAACUUUGGGAGGAACUUAAUUUAUAGUUUAAAACAAAGACGAUAAGACGAUAACAGCCCUUUCUCAAAACAAACAUCCUUCCUGACUGGGGACUAGACUGCCUUUGUAGGAUUAACAAAUUAGCCACAAGAUCAGAAAUUAUAGUUUAGGAGUCAUGCAGCUGGAGGCUCUAAGAUUGUGACCCUCCCUAAACCGCUCAGUGCUUGAGAUGUUUUACAGACCCUGCACUUAAUGGAUCAGCUGGCACCACCCAGAUGGAUAAACUGGCUCAUGUGAUCUUGUGGCCCCCACCCAGGAACUGACUCAGUGCAAGAAGACAACUUCAAUUCCCUAUGAUUUAAUGUCCUACCGAAUCAAUCAGCACUCCUGACACACUGGCUUCCCCUCACCCACCAAAUUGUCCUUAAAACCUCUGAUCUCCAAAUGCUUGAGGAGACUGAUUUGAGUAAUAAUAAAACAAGGCUCCUGCACAGCCGGCUCUGCGCGAAUUACUCUUUCUCUACUGCAGUUCUCCUGUCAUGAUAAAUCGGCUCCAUCUAGGCAGCCAGCAAGGUGAACCCACUGGGUGGUUACAGGCCACGCUAAGUUCGGGAGAAAUUUAGUUUAUGGUUUAAAUGAUAACAGCCCUUCCCCAAAACUAAACUGCCCUGGUAAAACUAAUGAAAGGCCGCCAAGUUAGGAGGAUGACAGGGGCCUGAAUUCUACUGAGCCGUAAGCGUAAUUACCGGCCAUUAUUCCAGAGGACACAAGAUUUGCAACUUGCCUAAUUACUCCUGCAAAGAACAUCGCUACUGUAGCACCUGAGAAUGGCCUUUUGAGAUGUGUUUUCAGGCUUUUGCACUUCUGACAACUGAUGGCUGCACUUGGACUCGCCAGCCGGUCCCGCGUCCCCACCAGAAGCAGAGUAAGCACAAGAGGACAGCUCCGACUCCCUAGGAUUUCAGCUCUGACCAGUCGCACGCCUGGCUCACUGGCUUCCCCACACCCACCAAGUUGUUCUUAAAAACUCUGCUGCCCGAAUGCUCAGGGAGAGUGAUUUGAGUAAUAAUGAAACUGUUGUCUCCUGCACAGUCGGCUCUGCGUGAAUUACUCUUUCUCUAUUGCAAUUCCGCUCUCUUGAGAAAUCGGCUCUGUCCAGGCAGCAGCAAGGUGAAGCCACUGGGCGGUUACACUGAUAUGAUUCCCCCUUUGCAGUUUUUACUCUCUUGGUGCUGCAAACAGUUCCUCACUGAGGACCCUUGUACACGUAUCACUGUGAGCAUGAAUCCGAAUUUCUUUAGGAGACAUACAUACUAGUGGGUAUGUGCAUGUUAUGUAAUUUCUCUUAGCACUGUUUCCUCACUCAUCAAAUAAGGAUCAAGUAGUUCUCACCACACAGGGUUAUUUUAGAAAUAAUUUAGUAUACAUAAUAUACAAUGCAAUAACAAGUACUGAUGUCUACUUCUUUUAGGUUAUAUGAUAAUACCUUAUACAUAGUACAUGUGUGAUUAUAUAUAUUGCAAUGUAGAGUACGAUCUAUAAUUUACAGAACUGUUGUUUAUAUAUAACAAAUGCUGUCCUUGCGAUAGUUUGCUCAGAAUGAUGGUUUAUGUAUACAUAUGUAACAAACCUGCACGUUGUGCACACGUACCCUAGAACUUAAAGUAUAAUUUUAAAAAAUGCUAUAAUUCAUGUGGUGAUUAUUAUCUACCAGUUACAUCAUCGAUAGAAUGAGGACGUUGUUAACGGUACACGCCAGACAGGAUGGCUGUGAGGAUCUGUGAUAAUAAGAAUUAGAUAUUUGGUCUUUGUCCCUGUUUCCUGAUGGAGGCUUCUAAACCCCUUGGAAUUCCCUGACUGAUAGGGGCAAGAGGAAAUCUUUUGUUAUUCCUAACGAGCCCCUUUCAUCCAUGCCUGUGUUUAUGCUAAUGAGGUGACUCCUGGAGGAUGAGGGCUGGUUGCCAGGGGAAUCAACUUUGCCUUGCAACUUUCAGCUCCAGUCCGUGACUUCCAGGGAAAGAACAGGGGCUGGAGAUUGAGUUUAAUCGCCAAUGACCAGUGAUUUGAUCAUUCAUGCUUAAAUAAUGGAACCAUAAGAAACCUAAAGAAAAGGUUUGGAGAGCUGCUGGGUUCAGGAGCACAUUCGUGUGCUGGGAGGGUGUUGUGCCUGGUGAAGGUGUGGAAGCGCUGACUCUGCCUCGCAUACCUUGUCCUGUCUGUGUCUUUCAUCUGGCUGUUGCUGAGUUGUGCUGUUUAUAAUAAUAAACUGGU
ensembl:lncRNA ZNF496-DT ZNF496 divergent transcript